ensembl:miRNA
AGUUGGCCAGGACCUCAAGCCCCUAGCACUUCAUUCUUGCUGUCCUCUCCUAGUCUGGGAGGACAGAAGAGAGGAUAGGAAGAAUGAAGUGCUGGGGGCUUAGGGGGAUCCUGGCCCACU